ACAUGAUGUGGAGUUUCACUGGUCAUGUAUUCAUUUACAAAUAUGGGCAGCUGAGGUAUAUUGGAAAAAGCAAUUGAUAUAUCGGCCAAUGCAGUACCAAAGCAGAACAGAGUCAGAGGACUGAGACCACCCUACCUUAACGCUUACUAUACACCUGUAGCAAUCAACACAGACUGGGGUUGGCAAAAGGAUAAACAAAUAAUGGAAUGGAGCAGAGAGUCUAAAAACAGAAUUACACAAGUAAAAUCAACUGAUCUUUGGAGAAAGAACAAUGGCAAUAAUGUGAAGAAAAAGUCUUUUUAACAAAUGAUGCUGAAAUCACUAAAUAUUCACAUGCAACUAAAGUGAAGAAGACACAGACCUUAAUAAAAAUUAACUUGGGCUAGGGA